rnacentral:sRNA from 11 species
UGCCCUCUUGGACGCGGGUUCGAUUCCUCUC